UUGCUUUGAUACUUGUUAAUCGUCUCGCUCAUGUUACAUCUUGUUGAGUCUGUAGGUAAAACAUCAGUUUAAAGAUAGCGUACAUUUUAUCGAACUCAGCUAGUAAACGUAAAAGAUAAACGAAUUUGCAUUUAACAAAAAUCAUAGACAUAUCAAUAACGAUAGUGAAGACUGGUUAUAGUAAAAUAGUGAUGAUAUCAUUUAUCAGUUAAUAAAGGAGGAGGUUUGACCAGUUGAUGUUUUUGGUCCUAGUCAAUAUGUG
rnacentral:lncRNA from 1 species